rnacentral:rRNA from 1 species
UACGUAGGGCGCAAGCGUUGUCCGGAAUUAUUGGGCGUAAAGCGCUCGUAGGCGGUCUGUUGCGUCUGCUGUGAAAACUCGGGGCUUAACCCCGAGCCUGCAGUGGAUACGGGCAGACUAGAGGUAGGUAGGGGAGAAUGGAAUUCCCGGUGUAGCGGUGAAAUGCGCAGAUAUCGGGAGGAACACCGGUGGCGAAGGCGGGUCUCUGGGCAACAACUGACGCUGAGGAGCGAAAGCGUGGGGAGCUAACAGG